rnacentral:rRNA from 1 species
UGGGGAAUAUUCCACAAUGGGCGCAAGCCUGAUGCAGCCAUGCCGCGUGUGUGAAGAAGGCCUUCGGGUUGUAAAGCACUUUCAGCGGGGAGGAAGGGAGUAAAGUUAAUACCUUUGCUCAUUGACGUUACCCGCAGAAGAAGCACCGGCUAACUCCGUGCCAGCAGCCGCGGUAAUACGGAGGGUGCAAGCGUUAAUCGGAAUUACUGGGCGUAAAGCGCACGCAGGCGGUUUGUUAAGUCAGAUGUGAAAUCCCCGGGCUCAACCUGGGAACUGCAGGUGAUACUGGCGAGCUUGAGUCUCGUAGAGGGGGGUAGAAUUCCAGGUGUAGCGGUGAAAUGCGUAGAGAUCUGGAGGAAUACCGGUGGCGAAGGCGGCCCCCUGGGCGAAGACUGACGCUCAGGGGCGAAAGCGUGGGGAGCAAACAGG